GACGAACGCUGGCGGCGUGCUUAACACAUGCAAGUCGAACGGUGAAGCUCCAGCUUGCUGGAGUGGAUCAGUGGCGAACGGGUGAGUAACACGUGAGCAACCUGCCCCUGACUCUGGAAUAAGCGCUGGAAACGGCGUCUAAUACUGGAUACGAGAAGGGUCCGCAUGGGCACUUUCUGGAAAGUUUUUCGGUUGGGGAUGGGCUCGCGGCCUAUCAGCUUGUUGGUGAGGUAAUGGCUCACCAAGGCGACGACGGGUAGCCGGCCUGAGAGGGCGACCGGCCACACUGGGACUGAGAGACGGCGCAGACUCCUACGGGAGGCAGCAGUGGGGAAUAUUGCACAAUGGGCGAAAGCCUGAUGCAGCGACGCCGCGUGAGGGAUGACGGCCUUCGGGUUGUAAACCUCUGUCAGCAGGGAAGAAGCGAAAGUGACGGUACCUGCAGAAGAAGCACCGGCUAACUACGUG
rnacentral:rRNA from 1 species